rnacentral:rRNA from 1 species
GAUGAACGCUAGCGGCAGGCCUAACACAUGCAAGUCGAGGGGCAUCGCGGUGCAGCAAUGCACUGGCGGCGACCGGCGUACGGGUGCGUAACGCGUAUGCAACCUGCCCCGCACCGGGGGAUAGCCCGCCGAAAGGCGGAUUAAUACCCCAUGGCCCCGGGGGCCCGCAUGGGCAUCCGGGUAAAGCUUUGGCGGUGCGGGAUGGGCAUGCGUGCCAUUAGCUGGCUGGUGGGGUAACGGCCCACCAGGGCAACGAUGGCUAGGGGGUCUGAGAGGAUGGUCCCCCACACUGGUACUGAGACACGGACCAGACUCCUACGGGAGGCAGCAGUGAGGAAUAUUGGUCAAUGGGCGGAAGCCUGAACCAGCCAUGCCGCGUGCGGGAUGAAGGCCCUACGGGUUGUAAACCGCUUUUCCCGGGAAGAAUAACGCCCCGCGGGGGUGAGUGCCGGUACCGGGGAAGUAAGGAGUCGGCUAACUCCGUGCCAGCAGCCGCGGUAAGAGUCACGUCG